UCACUGCCGAGGAGUCCCAUAAUAGGACGAAACGGCCGUCCAAUGU
rnacentral:hammerhead_ribozyme from 1 species